rnacentral:rRNA from 1 species
AGAGUUUGAUCCUGGCUCAGAGUGAACGCUAGCGGUGCGCCUAACACAUGCAAGUCGAGUGGGUUCAGACCCACGGCAAACGGCUGCGUAACACGUUGGAAUCUGCCCCGAACUCAGGGAUAACCCCGCGAAAGCGGGGCUAAUACCGGAUGCCCCCGCAAGGGGAAAGAUUUUUCGGUUCGGGAGGAGCCUGCGGCCUAUCAGAUAGUUGGUGGGGUAACGGCCUACCAAGUUGAUGACGGGUAGCUGGUCUGAGAGGACGACCAGCCAGAAUGGAACUGCGACACGGUCCAUACUCCUACGGGAGGCAGCAGUGAGGAAUCUUCCGCAAUGGGCGAAAGCCUGACGGAGCGACACCGCGUGAAGGAUGAAACCCUUUUGGGCGUAAACUUCUGUUCUGAGGGACGAAAUUUUUGACGGUACCUCAGGAGAAAGCACCGGCUAAUUCUGUGCCAGCAGCCGCGGUAAGACAGAAGGUGCAAGCGUUACUCGGAAUUACUGGGCGUAAAGGGUCCGUAGGUGUUCCUGCAAGUCUGGUGUCAAAAUGCGAAGCUUAACUUCGCACUCGUGCCGGAAACUAUAGGAAUCGAGCCAUUCAGAGGUAUCUGGAAUGUCGUGUGUAGGGGUAAAAUCCGUUGAUCCACGAUAGAACGUCAAAAGCGAAGGCAGGAUACUAGGAAUGUGCUGACACUCAGGGACGAAAGCGUGGGGAGCAAACCGGAUUAGAUACCCUGGUAGUC